GAUGAAGAACGCAGCGAAAUGCGAUACGUAAUGUGAAUUGCAGAAUUCAGUGAAUCAUCGAAUCUUUGAACGCACAUUGCGCCCGCCAGUAUUCUGGCGGGCAUGCCUGUUCGAGCGUCAUUUCAACCCUCAAGCCCAGCUUGGUGUUGGGGAUCGGCACAGGCGCCCUCGGGCGCCCGCCGUCCCCUAAAUCUAGUGGCGGUCCCGCUGCAGCCUCCUCUGCGUAGUAGUUUUCUCCUCGCAAGGGCAGCUCGGUGGCGACCUCGCCGUAAAACCCCCAACUUCUGAAAGGUUGACCUCGAAUCAGGUAGGAAUACCCGCUGAACUUAAGCAUAUCAAUAAGGGAGGA
rnacentral:misc_RNA from 1 species